rnacentral:lncRNA from 1 species
AUAUAUUUUUUAUUAUCAUUUAGAUUUACAAUUGUUAAGAUAUGAAAUAUAUAAAAAUAAGCAAUUCAAAGGAAACACAGUUUGUCGAGGUGAUUGUUGUUUUGGUUUGAUUAUUUUGUAUAUAUGAACAUGUAUACAUAUAUAUGCAUAUAUUUUUAUUUAUUUAUUAGAAUAAAGCAAAAGGUAGAAAGGCAGAGGUUGUUUGGGAAAAGUACCCCAAAAGAAAACAAUUAUUUCCAAUAUAUUUUAAGAUUGAAGAGAAAGUAUUGAUUUGAAUCAUUUUCCCACUGGUUCAUGGAAAAAAACAACUCAUAAAAUGAGUUUGAUGGGCACAAAGAAUUAACUUUGACCUUUCUUUGGCUUCAGAGGAUCCAGGUCAACUUGGAGAGACUGGAAGUGUUAUGACACAGGAGAGGCCAAUGGGACACAGCCCCACACUCAGAAAACUGCUCCCUCUCACACAGCCAGCCAGCAACAGCCUUUCACAGUGAUGUUGCUUCUCUUUCUAUGUCAGGGUUAAGGUCAUUUUUAGGGCACAGCGAGGAAAUGUAGAGGCCCGGGCUGUCUGCACCACAUCUGUGCUGUGAGAAACAGGGGGUUUCAGUUUCCAGCCUCUGAAUAUCACACAACCUAACCUUUACCUGCCUGCCCUCACCCUAGUACACAAAAAGCAUAAAAAUAAAAUUAGACGUUUCAGAGUAUGGACUAGCAAGGUCAAAGGUAGACAUUCCUGAAACACAUUAGGACCUUAGGACCUUCAGAAAAAGGUAACCGAUACAGGCAGAGCCUUAUUAUUCAGCUAUGAUCAUACAGUCUCCUGUUUAGUUAUUUUACAGGAUAAGAAAGGGUUGGGAGGUGAGUGUGUAGAAACUAUAUUUCAGUUACUGUUUUGGUACAUAUGGGGGCAGAAAUCUCAGGUUAUUUAUAAGUAUACAGGUUACUGAGGGCUGUAUUUGCAAAUAUAACCAGUUUCUUAUCAUCUAGAGCUUAUUCUUAUAUUUACUUCAUUAAUCACCAAUCACACUUCUGGAAUAUAGAACAGAAGCAGUGAAAUUGACAUUGGAAGGGACAUAAAGAGAGGAAGCAUUUUACUGUGUGGUUCUGGAGCUAGUGAACUCUUAGAGAAUAGGAACCCAAUAAUCUUACUCAUAAGUAUAAAAACAUCAUUAAUAAAAGCUAGUAUUGACUUAACACUUUUCCUAAGCUGUGAGCUGCCUUUUGCGCUUUCCAUGUGGUACUUUGUCAAUCCUCAUAACAUAUCUGUGAGCUAUUAUAAUUAUUGGCAUUUCAAUAUGAUGAGAAAAUUGGGACCGUUUCUUCAUAUUUAAUAUAAUUUUUCUAUAUUGACCCACAAAGUAGCUGAAUAUUCCCAAUGUGUUCAUGGCAUUCAAAAACAGCAAGUGCUAUUGCCCAUUUACAAUGAAGGAAACAUGUCACUAGUGGUGCUUGUGAUGCCCUUGGGUUUCUCUGAGAUUGUACAGAUGUAAGUUCUUGAUUUACUAAGCCAUGCUAACUGAGAAAUCUUUUAACUGAAAAUAGUAAUAAAGAAGGGAAAAAUAACCUUUAGAAAUACGACAUAAAUUGGUGCAGAAAGUGGUGCAGAACCAGGCUAUGGGUAGGACAAGAGACAAUUAUCAGUGAGGUAUGGUUUAAGGGGCAGUGGAAGUUUGCUUACACCAGACAUUUACCUCCAGUUCAGGCUUUGCAAUUAGACAAAGCUAGAAUCAAACACUAAUUUUAUUAUAGCUAUUGUGACUGUCUUUGAGCAGAAGUUUAAUUCGUCCAAAAGUUGCCGUGAGAAUGAAGCUAGGCAAUGAAUGUCAAUACUUUGAAUGUGACAAGUCUUCCAAUACAUUUUGUUUCCUUUGUUCUCCUUUUCUAACUUGUCUUCCUUCCUGUGAUUUAAAGUGAGGGUUUAAAAUGAGGAAUUUUCAUAUAAUGAGUGAUAGAAACAUAUGAAAGUAUUAGAACCUGCCCUUGGAAGAACCACUAUCUAAUGUUAUACUUUGUGACCUAGAAAAGGCUUUCAGCUCUUAAACAUUUUCCAAUCAUUUAGAUAUUUAUUCAGGCUAACAAAAAUAACAAACUCAGGAAUCUAUACAAAUAAUUAGCUUGUCCAAAAAUGGCACUACAUUUUACAUUGUAUUAGGAAAGAGAAAUUGCAAUACCAUAAUAUUGGUCAAUGUUAUUUAUUAUCUCUUGGUCUUUUCCUGUUUCUCACCAGGUUCCUAUAAAGUUCCUGAUAGUUGAAGAAAGUCAGGAGAUCUUAGAAACUGACUUUCAUUUAUAACCUGCUGAUUCACCUAGAUCAGGUUACUGGGAAGAAAUCCAAGUCAGACCUCCUGACCUACUCGAAACAGCAUGAGGAAUUUUGGAAAUACAUCUGGUGCUUCCAGUGACUGUAUAAUAAUCAAUGUAUCCUGACUCUAAAGAAAAGCAGAAGUGAAACUGAAAGUACAGACUACAAGGUGGAAUAUGAUCCCUCUACUAUCAACUAAAAGUCUUAGACUUGCUACCCUUCUGAAAAUGGUUCUGAAGGGGCCCAGGAAGAAACCUCCUCUUCCCCAGCUGAGUUGAGAACCAAGUGGAAGACAAAGAAGUUAGACAGCAGAUGAAAAAGUGACCUGCCUUGCACCUUGCCAGUUGGCUUGCUAGCUCUCCCCUGAUUUGAACUUCUGACAACAGAACAUGCUCCACCAAACUUACCAUGUGAAGGACAGCACAUGGGCAUUCUUUCUGAGACCUGCAAAGAAAACAAAGGGAGAGGCUAAGCAGACAAAGGAAAACUCUUUCUUCUCAAAUCAAUCAGAUAAUGAACUCCUGUUCCCUUUAGGAGAAAUGAGUGGGUGGGGAGAGAAAAGCAAGCAGUUGACCUCUGGAGGUCCUUAGACUUAAAAACAUAAAGCCCAAGGAAGAAAAUUCCUCCCCAGCAUUAACUUGGACCAGUAAUGUUUUUCUAUUUAUAUUCCAUAUGUAAAUAUGCCUGUGAGGUAUUAUGUAUUGUCUUUGUGCCUUUAAGUGCAUUUCUUUAAAAAAUCUGUAACUUUAAACUUAAAUAGAAAGGCACAAAAUGGAUUGUUAUUUUAUACAAUGGAGUUCUGAUAUUAAUUAUUGUUACUUCUCACAAAA